GUCUCCAGCAGGGGGCAGUAAAACCCUAUGGGAAAGGGAAAGUGAGGAGUAAAAAUCAAAGGUGAAUUUACACUGAUGUUUCCACGGAGACCUGAAUCAUAUCCACGAGGCAGCAAACUGAAGAAAAUCAACUGAAACAGGGAGGGACUAACUGAACUAAAAUAAUUCUGUUACUAAAUGUUUUGCUACAGUUUUCUCUAACGAAUACCACCCUGGAUUCAAAUACUAUUUGAAAUCUUACAAAUACUUUGAGCAUUUCCUUUAGUCCUCCAGGUGGGCGGGGUUUGUUUGUACUUUUAGGACGUUUCUAUUGGUUCCAUUACAACAAACUCAAUCAACCACUGCUUAUUAAAUAUUCAACAUUAUUUUAAUGUAGGCGAAUAUAACAUAUUAGAUCUGGUAAAAGAUAAUACAAACAAAAAAAUGUUUUUUCUUCCCAUCUUUGAAAUGCAAGAGAAAGGCCAUAAUGUAAUAUUUCAGGUUUGGCACAAUUUUGACUUUGGCCACUUAAUGGAAGCAGUGUAUUUGCAAAGUUUAUGACUGAUUCAGUGAACCAUUCUGUUAAAAAAUGUUGUAUCGAGACUGCCCAAUUGUGCCCAAUUGGUUUAUUAAUACAUGUUCAAGUAUAUAACUGUGCACUCUCCUCACAAAAUAGCAUGGUAUUCUUUCACUGUAACAGCUACUGUAAAUUGGAGAGUGCAGUUAGAUGAACAAUAAUGUAAGCUUUCUGCCCAUAUUAGAUAUGUCUAUUUCCUGGGAAAUGUUAUUGUUACUUAUACCUCAUGCUAAUCACAUUAGCCUACGUUAGCUCAACCGUCUCGUGGGGGGAUACGGAUCCUGUAGAGAUAAUGCCCUUUAAGUGUAACACCAGAUCCCAAAUGAGGGGAUUUCACUAAUGUAAUCUGUUCACAAUGACAGCUUCUCAAGUGGUUUUAAUACUUCAUUUGUGGAGGUGAAGAUUAUUUCAAAACUCAUUUUGAGCAUUUAUGAAAGAUAACUGAAGAGGAAAAGUUUAUGUUAACCUUUAUUCUAAUUCUAAUAGUGUGUUUAUCAAAACAUCAUGAACAUCCUCUGUUGUCUGUCUAGAAACGGUGCUGUUACAGAUACUGCUUGUGUUUGUCAUCAUGUGACUGCACGGGAAGAUUAGAACAUGUCACCACCCUUUUCUUUAUGUUUAAUGUGAAAACAAGGUUCAUUUCAUUCUAAUUCUGAAGAUGAAUAAAAACAUUUAGGGAUUAAAGUAAAUACAUCGAAGCAAGGUGUUAAGUUGUAAACAGAGUAUUAACUCAAACGAAUGCAGAGAAAAGCUCAAACCAAGUUUAUUCACCCCACUGGAUUCUGCAUCUAUAUACCACAGCUUGUACAAAACCAAACAAUAAUUUAUUUGUCAAGACAAAGGUAGGGGUGUGACUUCUCAGAAAUGUUCAUCUGUUUCCCAGAACUGCCUGUUGGUCUGUUGUUGAGCGGCUGGUAUCACCCUCCCCCCCAUUAUCCCCCACGUUGUUCCACCUCCGCUUCUGGGAGGAACCAGGCGGGGCCACAGAUCAGACUCCUCCAUCUCAUCCCACCAACUCUGUCAGUCCACCAGGUCCCACAAUGCAGCCUCCACACCACUGCAGUAACAGCCACAUCUUCCCAUCACAAAGCUUCAGUACUAUCUCAAUGUGUUGAAGUACCAUCCAGGAUCCUGUGGCAACAUCAAUGUGAAACAGCAUUGACCCCUGAUCACCACCAACCAGGCCUCGACAGCGGUUGCCUUGGACACCCAGUGAAACAGCAUUGACCCCUGAUCACCACCAACCAGGGCUCCACAGCGGUUGCCUUGGACACCCAGUGAAACCAGAGAGAGCACACCAGGCAGCAGGGAGCACUUUGAUGUGAUUGGCUGUUCAGCAGGAAGAUUCAUCUGGCUACACAGAAGGGAUGAUGGCUCUGACCAAUACAUUUUUAGUUAUGAAAAUAUUUUAUUCAAUUCUAUUCUACUGAUAAUUGAAUAAAUGAUGAUUUUAAAAAACAAAACAAGUUUUUUGGAAAUUAUAAUUUUAUUAAUUAAGAUAUUAACAAACAAAUAUGAUUGAUAUACCUGGGGUGACAGGGUAGCCUAGUGGUUAGAGCAUUGGACUAGUAAGUUAUUACAUUAUAAUGACUUAUUACAGUAAUUAUUGGUUAUUACGUUAUGGAUCAAUUAACAAUACACCAAUCUGUUAUAAUACAUGGAAGAAUUUGAUUAGUCAAGGUACAAUACACAAAAACAUUUAUGGAAUGACCAGACUAGUCAAGGUACAAUACACAAAAACAUUUAUGGAAUGACUA